CCUACGGGGGGCAGCAGUGAGGAAUAUUGGUCAAUGGGCGCGAGCCUGAGCCAGCCAAGUCGCGUGCGGGAAGACGGCCCUACGGGUUGUAAACCUCUUUUGCCGGGGAGCAACGGGCGCCACGUGUGGCGCCACUGAGAGUACCCGGAGAAAAAGCAUCGGCUAACUCCGUGCCAGCAGCAGCGGUAAUACGGAGGAUGCGAGCGUUAUCCGGAUUUAUUGGGUUUAAAGGGUGCGUAGGAGGAGCGUUAAGUCAGUGGUAAAAUUGAGGGGCUCAACCCCUUCCCGCCAUUGAAACUGGCGCUCUUGAGUGGAAGAGAAGUAUGUGGAAUGCGUGGUGUAGCGGUGAAUUGCAUAGAUAUCACGCAGAACCCCGAUUGCGAAGGCAGCAUGCCGGCUUCCGACUGACGCUGAAGCACGAAAGCGUGGGGAUCGAACAGGAUUAGAUACCCUAGUAGUC
rnacentral:rRNA from 1 species